UACGGGGGGGGCAAGCGUUGUUCGGAAUUACUGGGCGUAAAGAGCUCGUAGGCGGUUUGUUGCGUCGGCUGUGAAAUCCCGAGGCUCAACCUCGGGUCUGCAGUCGAUACGAGCAAACUAGAGUGUUGCAGGGGAGACUGGAAUUCCUGGUGUAGCGGUGAAAUGCGCAGAUAUCAGGAGGAACACCGGUGGCGAAGGCGGGUCUCUGGGCAGCAACUGACGCUGAGGAGCGAAAGCGUGGGGAGCGAACAGG
rnacentral:rRNA from 1 species